GGAUAGAAAGAUGCUUGUAGGAAGAUGUCAUGAAGCAGGGCAACAACUAUCUGUUAUAUUACAAGGUUCAACAGGAAAUGAUAGAAAGGUUCUGCUAGGAAGAUGUCAUGAAGCAACACAAAAAGUAUCCUGUAAAAGGUUCAACAGGAAAAUUUAGGUUUGGGUGGCAUUAUGCAAGUGUACCACAGUAAUCAGUGGGGAACCGUGUGUGCAUAUUAUUCUUAUCACUUUGAUAUGAAUGAUUCCAAGGUCGCAUGCCGUCAACUUGGUUUUACCAAAGCUGUAGGAU